UUCAACCGUGGUAGAUGUUAA
rnacentral:miRNA from 1 species